GAAGUUGGCUAAAGCUCUCCUCACUGGGAAUAAGGUAAGAUCAUUAGGGAGCCCCCGCAACCUCCUGCAGCAUCCACAGACUAUCCUGAGAGGUUAAAAUUAUGAAGGCUUUCAAUCAUACCUUUUCUUUAUUCUGCCCUAGAACUCUUCCAGGGAGAAGAGUACGACGGACUUCCCAGUGGAUGUGUGGAGCCUGGGAGUCAUCUUGUAUUUGUUGAUGGUGGAGAUGCUGAGCAAUCAGCAGGGAAGCCUAUAUUAUAUGGAAAAUGGGAAGAAUAAUUAAGAGAGAGUCUAAAAGAGUCAGAGAAGAGAGAGGGAAUGAAUCUGGGUUUGGAAGAGACUAUUUGGAGUUGGAAGUCAAGAUAAGAUGGAAGCUUCUGGUAGCAGCUUUGGUACAUGAGGAUUUCGAGAAGGCUAAAGGCUGUUCAGCUCUCAGGAUUCUGCUCUGGUUCAACCUUAGCACCUCCUCUUAUUUGUCAAGCACUGACUACAGGAGGCAGCGCUGCUGAGUGAGGAAGGCCCUGACUUGGAAUCAGACAAGGGUGAGUUCUAAUUCAGCCCUUUCCACAUAGUAGCUGAUGGACUGUAUAAAUAUUCUUUACAUACUAGGAACCUGCUUCUUCAUCAGCACAACAGUGAGUACAAGGACCUCAGAGGAAGCUCGUGGUAUGACAGAUACAAUGUGUCAAUGUCUAGAAUCUAUUGUCUAGUGUCAUUUGAAAAACACCAUUUAUUUAUCAUUCACAUGAUACGUUCCAACAAGAAUUUUUAGAAAGUCUACACAAUUACAUAAGACAAAGGAAAAUGUUUUAAACGUAUAGAAGAAGAGAAACAUUGGGUCAAAAGAAAAGAAAGGAAACAUAAAAUGAAGGGAGAAAUGACAAAGUAAACAAAAUUCAUAUCAUAAUAUCUCACACAGGUGCCAACAUUAGGUGCCUGAUUUGGCUGUGUAUAUUCCAGUGAAGACAAAAGACUGUGUUUGUAGUGUUAGCAUAAGAUUUGGCUAUAUAAAUGGAAAAACUCAAUUAAAAGUACUUUAAACACAAAAGGAGUUUAUUUUCUCUUCCAUAAAAGAAGUGUCCAACAUAAUAGCUCCAGGUUAACAUGAGUGCAAGCACUAGUCUAUAUUUCUACUCUGCCAUUCAGAAUGUGUUUUUUGUAUAUAUGAUGGCUUCUAGAUUCCAGUUGUCAUGUACAAACUGGGGGUAAGAAGAAGACGGAAAAGGGGAAAUGUUUCUAAAGAGCAUUCCAAUAUUCCCAUCCCAAACCUUCCCUUCUAUACCACUGACUACCCAUAAUUACAAGUGGAAGUGUGGUACUUCAGCAAGGCAUAUGUAACCAGUUGUCACCUGUUCAAUUAUCUUUGCUCUGUAGGGUUUUCAAUGGUUGUGACCUUUCAGAUGUAGAUGGACAGCCUUUCUUCUGAAGAGAAUCCGAGUGGAUUGAAACCGCCAACUUUUUGUUUAGUAGCCUAGGUCUCAACUGUUUGUACCACCCAAGGCAUAUCUAACCAACUCCCUAUAAAAUUGGGUUUCUGUUAGUAAAAAAGAGAAUAUGUAUGUCGGGUAGGGAAUCUGUGCUACAACCAUCAGUUAUAAGAUUCACAGUAUCCAUAACAUUAAAACAUACUAAUUCUGUAAUGGAAGCAUGACCCUGCCUCCUUAAAAAAAAAAGUGUCCCUGAUUCUCAUAGAAACAUUACACUGUAUAAUAUAAUAUAAUGAGCAAUGUCUUCAGCCAAUUCCCUACAAGUAAUCCAAUCAUGAAUUUGAAUAUUCUUGAAAUGAUUCCUAGUGGAGGCUAAAGGCAUCACACACAGUAAGUGUCACUCUAGGGAAAAAGGGAGGAGACAGGGACAUUAUAUCCUGGCCCAGGUAGUCACGUGUUCUGAAGCAGGAACCUUGAUGGGGCUAAACAGCAAUAUCCAAAUGACUGGCAAGAAUAUCCUGACUCCCUAGGAGUGCAGACUGAG